UCAUCAGACUUGACAUGAUUCUGUAAUAGAACAGUCUGCAUCCGUUUACCAGUUUGUCUGAGAGCCUUUAGGGCUGAAGGGUGGUGUAUAAAUACCGCAAGUAAUUCUACCUUCGGUUGAUGCUGCUUUUUGGGUCAGGUGCUCCAGCCUCCAUCGGAUCCAAAGCGAGAGCGACGUGAUCCAGCAGAGCGCCCAGCUGCUUCGUUCCUAUCUGACGGACCUCCUCGCGGCCAUUGCCAAGUCGGCCAAGGCGUGUCCUGCCAUCAUCCGGGCCACCUUUCGGCUCCUUUACAAAAGGGUCGGGGACUGUUUCCCUGAAGAGAGAGAUCAGAAUGUGAAAUUCAUUGCCAUCACCAGCUUCCUCUGCCUGCGCUUCUUCUCUCCGGCCAUCAUGGCUCCCAAACUUUUCCACUUGUGGGAGAAACAUGCUGACGCGCGCACCAGUCGGGCCCUUCUCCUCCUGGCCAAGGCCAUUCAAAACGUGGGGAACAUGGAUGCCAGCGUCAGCCGCGCCAAGGAGGCUUGGAUGGCACCUCUGCAGCCCACCAUCCAACAAGGCGUCACACAGAUGAAGCACUUCAUCCUUCAGCUCAUUGACAUUGAAGAGAAAGAAGGUCAGUGGAGGAGGGA